AGUACAUGAAUUAUAAAUAAAUAAAAGUUAUUUUAAUAUUUUUUCAUCACAAAUAUUUCAUCUUCUAAUGAACUCCUGUGUUGUGGUGAAGUCCUUAGGACUAUUUAGACUCGACAAAGGAGGAUUUGUCGCUUAGUCCUUAAACCUGUUCGCGACCAAAUGAUACGUUGUUACCAAGGACGACAAUAUUUAUCGAGCAUAGGUCGUUGUGUGCCAUAUGGGUUGGUUGUCCUCAUAACCAAGGAGUGUGGAGACAUUGGUAUGGCAUACAGGUGAGAUGUAAUGGUACAUCUGCACUGAACGUGACCAACUCCGGAGCUAUUUCUGCUGUCAAGAUUUGCUCCGAUGGGAUAUGGGUAUAAAUGUCCCUCCGACCUG
rnacentral:lncRNA from 1 species